CUCUUUCUGCCAAUGGGUCCUGUCCCUGUGCUUUAAUAAAGUCACCUUUUUGCACCAAAGAUGUCUUCAAGAAUUCAUUCUUGGCUGUCGGCUCUGGACCCGCCACCAUCACCCCCAAACUUCAUCAUUUGGCGCCCAACGUGGGGCUUAGAGUCUUUUCAUCUGGACUCUGACCCAGCACAAAUUUGGUGUCCCCUCCAAGAUGAAGGACAUGUUGCUUUACUUGUGCUAGCUAUCACUAAAUGAAAAAACAAAGAAACAACAUUCAGCUGGCCUUAUACAACGGACCUAUUGAAGUCUUCGUUCUUUUGCCAUCCAGAAGACAGCAAUUCAUAAUAUUAGAGUGCUAUUCUAUACAAUGUGCUGUGUGCUCUGAACGUGAGCAAGUAUAAUGGAGCUAUGUUUCUCAUGCCCAUAAUUCACAAGGGGUGCCUCUUAAAAUUAAACUUGCAUCAGUGACAGAUCACCACAAACGUAGUGGCUCAAACCAACCCAUUUGUUAUCUUAUAGUUCUAGAGGUCAGAAGUCUGAAAUGGUUCUCACUGAGCAAAAAUCAAAUGUCAUUGUGGCUAUAUGACUUUUGGACACCCUAGGGGCAAACCUGUUUUCUUGCCUUUUCCAACUUCUAGAGAGUGCCCACAUUCCUUGGUU